AGGGGAAAUGAAAGAAAGAAAAAACAUUAGAUUUUCUUGAAUAUGUGAAAGGAGAGAAGCAUCAAUAGGUUUUGCUACGCAGGAGGGAUGAUACUGGACGAGCUGGGCUACUUUGGCCAGUAUCAUUCUCCUACGUAAUAAACCUUAAUAGAUGGGUGUUUCAGUGUGGCGUUUGAGGACUAGAUUGGAACUUCUUUCAACCAGAUUGACACUACACUUCACAGUCUGCAAUGUGACCAGAUGACGAAACAGGAAAAAUAGUCAAGAACUUUUUUGGACAAGCUGAUUAGUUUGUUUUUCUAAUGAGAGAGUUCGUUUAUAGCCUGUUUGGCCAAGAUUUUCCAAUUCUAGAAGCUUUUUUUUUUUUCUUUUUUCAA